CCGUAUCCCUUUUGGCUCCAG
rnacentral:sRNA from 1 species